rnacentral:rRNA from 2 species
GACGAACGCUGGCGGCGUGCUUAACACAUGCAAGUCGAACGAUGAAGCCCUUCGGGGUGGAUUAGUGGCGAACGGGUGAGUAACACGUGGGCAAUCUGCCCUGCACUCUGGGACAAGCCCUGGAAACGGGGUCUAAUACCGGAUACGACCUGGGGAGGCAUCUCCUCGGGUGGAAAGCUCCGGCGGUGCAGGAUGAGCCCGCGGCCUAUCAGCUUGUUGGUGAGGUAACGGCUCACCAAGGCGACGACGGGUAGCCGGCCUGAGAGGGCGACCGGCCACACUGGGACUGAGACACGGCCCAGACUCCUACGGGAGGCAGCAGUGGGGAAUAUUGCACAAUGGGCGCAAGCCUGAUGCAGCGACGCCGCGUGAGGGAUGACGGCCUUCGGGUUGUAAACCUCUUUCAGCAGGGAAGAAGCGCAAGUGACGGUACCUGCAGAAGAAGCGCCGGCUAACUACGUGCCAGCAGCCGCGGUAAUACGUAGGGCGCAAGCGUUGUCCGGAAUUAUUGGGCGUAAAGAGCUCGUAGGCGGCUUGUCACGUCGGUUGUGAAAGCCCGGGGCUUAACCCCGGGUCUGCAGUCGAUACGGGCAGGCUAGA